UCCAGACUCCUACGGGAGGCAGCAGCGGGGAAUAUUGCACAAUGGGGGGAACCCUGAUGCAGCGACGCCGCGUGGGUGAAGGAGCGUUUCGGCGCGUAAAGCCCUAUCGGCAGGGAAGAAGGAGGACGGUACCUGACUAAGAAGCCCCGGCUAACUACGUGCCAGCAGCCGCGGUAAUACGUAGGGGGCAAGCGUUAUCCGGAUUUACUGGGUGUAAAGGGGGCGCAGACGGCAGCGCAAGCCAGGAGUGAAAGCCCGGGGCCCAACCCCGGGACUGCUCUUGGAACUGCGCGGCUGGAGUGCAGGAGGGGCAGGCGGAAUUCCUGGUGUAGCGGUGAAAUGCGUAGAUAUCAGGAGGAACACCGGUGGCGAAGGCGGCCUGCUGGACUGCGACUGACGUUGAGGCCCGAAAGCGUGGGGAGCAAACAGGAUUAGAUACCCCAGUA
rnacentral:rRNA from 1 species